rnacentral:lncRNA from 1 species
UCGGAUCUAAAUUUCGUGUGAUUUGAUGCAUUAUUAAGAGAGAUAUGCUUAAUUGAAGUCUUGAAUGUUAAUUUGAUUUUGCUUUGUUUUGCAUGAAUCAUGAUGAAUUAACAUGAAAUAUUGCUUGUUCUAUAACCUACAUGUCAUGAGGAUUUGUUUGAUGUAUUUGUUUUUGAGUUCUGAAAAAAAUUCUGGAAAAAUGUUGAAUCUC